GAUGAACGCUGGCGGCGUGCCUAAUACAUGCAAGUCGAGCGAACAGAUGAGGAGCUUGCUCCUCUGACGUUAGCGGCGGACGGGUGAGUAACACGUGGAUAACCUACCUAUAAGACUGGGAUAACUUCGAGAAACCGGAGCUAAUACCGGAUAAUAUAUUGAACCGCAUGGUUCAAUAGUGAAAGACGGUUUUGCUGUCACUUAUAGAUGGAUCCGCGCCGCAUUAGCUAGUUGGUAAGGUAACGGCUUACCAAGGCAACGAUGCGUAGCCGACCUGAGAGGGUGAUCGGCCACACUGGAACUGAGACACGGUCCAGACUCCUACGGGAGGCAGCAGUAGGGAAUCUUCCGCAAUGGGCGAAAGCCUGACGGAGCAACGCCGCGUGAGUGAUGAAGGUCUUCGGAUCGUAAAACUCUGUUAUUAGGGAAGAACAAAUGUGUAAGUAACUAUGCACGUCUUGACGGUACCUAAUCAGAAAGCCACGGCUAACUACGUG
rnacentral:rRNA from 1 species